UUAAUGAAAGGAAACGGAUAGGAUAGACCUAAUUCCCAGGAAGGGCAUGGUGACGAGCACAGUGAGAAAGAAAAGUGGCAGAGCUGUGUGAAGAAGAAAGUGCCAGCAAUUUGUAUUUUUCGAGCAAUGGCCUCUGCAACCCUUUCCUUAUGUCCCUCUUUCCCAACCCACUGCAGAAUCUCUACAAAGCAAUACCCUUCCCCGACUUUCUCUUUCUCUUUCUCUAACAAUUCCAAUCUCAGGUCUCUCUCCCUCUCUUCCCUCAACCUCUCUCUCUCUUCUUCUUCGCGUACAUUUCCACUUCUCUCCAAGUUCUCAGAAUCUGAGGCAGCCGUGCUUGAGUCUGAAUCCGGUUCACCGGAGCCCGAAGCUGCGGAAUUCGUCCAAACCUCCCCAGUUCAAGUCCCCAAGCGAGAGGAAGUGUUCGCUGUGGUUAUGAUAGGAUCACGCCAAUACAUUGUUUUUCCUGGGCGGUUUAUCUAUACUCAAAGGCUUAAAGGCGCUAAUGUCAACGAUAAGAUUAUCUUGAACAAGGUGUUGCUCAUCGGAACCAGAACAAGUACCUACAUUGGAAAACCAGUGGUGACUAAUGCUGCUGUGCAUGCUGUAGUUGAAGAGCAGGGUUUAGAUCCCAAAGUGAUUGUCUUCAAGUAUAAGAAGAAGAAAAACUAUCGAAGAAACAUUGGUCAUCGACAAUUGACAGAAUUGACCCACAAUUUCUGCUCCAAGGUGGUUAGCAUACAUCCAGGUGGAGAUUUAUGUGGUCAGCUCGAGUAAUGUUGCCUGCUAGAAAGAUUUGUUCCUUUAACCUACCCAUUUUGGUACUUCCAUCCUAGCUACAAUCCACAGCCAAAUACAAGGAUACGCAUAACAGGCAUCACAGGCUAUCAGGACUAUCCAGCUGUUACACUUGAAUCUUAGGAUUUCUUGGCGAGUACAGUACUGAUUAUUGACAUCUGAAUGCUUUUGUGAAGGUUUUGUUCUCCAAUUUGUAUGUAAUUUCCUCGGUAGGGAACUAACUCCAGCAAUGGAUUAUAAAAGUUACUUUGUGCCAAAAUGAAUUGCUCAAUUAGAAUGCAUUGUGAAAAUCCUGUCUGAUUCAUUGUUUUUUGUUAUAUAGUCAUUUACCACACCAUUCAUUAUUUACCA